GACAGAGGUGCCAAGCGUUAGGCGGAAUCACUGGGCUUAAAGCGUGCGCAGGCGGUGAUGUAAGACAGAUGUGAAAUCCCCGGGCUCAACCUGGGAACUGCAUUUGUGACUGCAUCGCUGGAGUGCGGCAGAGGGGUGGAAUUCCUGGUGUAGCAGUGAAAUGCGUAGAUAUCAGGAGGAACAUCGAUGGCGAAGGCAGCCCCUUGGACCUGUACUGACGCUCAUGCACGAAAGCGUGGGGAGCAAACAGG
rnacentral:rRNA from 1 species